UAUAGUUAUAUUUUUUAUACUAUAAUACAUUUUAAUGCAUGUCUACUUUUUACAUCCCGCUUUGUUUAAAUCUCUCAUUUGUUUUUACGUCCCAUACUUGUUUUUUUUCGCUUAUUUUAUUAUUUUAGAAAAUUUCAACAUUCGUUUUCCCCGGAACAUAAAACAAAAGUAAAUCUCAUACACAUAUAAAACAGAGCUCAUCUGCCACACACGAAAUGUUCAGGAAAUACAUAAUUUCAUUAUGUUUCUCCCCGCUGUUCCCUGGAAUCGCCUGCAGCACAAACUGUCAACACGGUUGGCAUACCUCCUCCCCCUGCAAAAAUUUUUUACCAACUCUCACCACAUUUUGGCCGGCCCCACCCACUUUUCUUAGCCCGGGGGCGUUGGCAGAUAACGGUUUACUUUCUUAAUCUCUGUACAUAAUUUUUGCGACUUCAUGUUACGCAAUGUAUGUAUGGCGCAUUCUUUCCGCUUCUGCGGAAUAACACACGCUCUUCUCCAUUUAAGGUAACUUGGUUUAUCUGAAGGCUUUGGCCAUUUAGUUAAUUGCUAAAUAUGUCUGCUUUCGUUUAAUUAUAUCUAGUUUAGCGCAUAUUUAUUAUAAUGAACUACUAUCGGUGCUUAGGUUAAAUAAUAUAUAUUUGCCAAGAUGUAUUCAAAAUUACUUAUUUGAUUAUUUUAUAUGCAUGAUUUUACUCGUUUCUAUGAUUUAAAUUAUGAUUCUACAGAAAAGCCUUGCUUUACUUAUUGAUUUCCCUGCUUGAUUUUCACCUUAGUUCGAUGGCCUUUAGCCCUCACCACCCACUUUGCUGCAUAUGUAUGUACAUACAUAUAUGACUGACUGUCUUUAAAUAUUUUAUUGCCCCGACUAUCUGCUGGUGCUGUUAGUUGAAGGGUGCUGACAUUCUCUGUGGCAAGUUUUUCUUCUUUCGAGGAAAACGCAUUUGGCCGAGAGGUAAACGCCGAGGAACAGCUUUAAGAAACCCUUGGCAGCGCUUUCAAUUACCAACUUAGCGCUGAUUACUUAUUCGUCAGCGUCAUGACCGGAAAUCCAAGGGCGGGUUUCGGGGGAUCGGUAUAAGCUGGCCCACUUCUGCACCGCCCAGGCCACAAGCAUAUUAGUCAAAAGGAGUUGACUCCUCCAUACUUUCACUCGACUCCGAAACUGCGACGUGGACUUGGACUCCUCGACUCGACUCAACUCAACUCGACUCGGCUUGGUCACUUAAUCUCGCCCUUUUGGUAUGCACGGACUGUAUUCAAAUGAAUUCUGAUUGAAUUCUUUGAAGCUCAUCAGUAAGAAGCGAUUUUUUUCUAUCUAAGGCAUCAGAUGAAGCUGGAGCCGUGGCAGGAGUCCUGCUGCGACGACUGGGCCUUGGCACAUCCUUCAGACAUUUAUUUUCAGUAAUGGAAAAAAUGUGUUCUGCAAUUUCGCUCAUUUUUAUACAUAAAUUUACCAGGCAAGCCCACGAGUGAGGCGGUGUGGUCCGAGCCAAAGAGAAAAAGAAAUGCGGGAAAUAUAAUGCUAAAACGUAAAGUAAAUAAAGGAUAAUGCAGCAAGGAUAUAAAUUACAUAAAGCAGCGCGAGAUGACUAACUGUGGCAGGCCAGAGCUGCUCCACGACAACGGAACGUGGCCGGCAUUAGCUGUUCAAACAAAGCUUCAGAGGGUCUUCAUUGGAGAAGCAAAGUCUCAGCACUGAGAGAAAAUUUGAUAAGUUUCUUGUAUCGAUAUAUUACUAUUUAUACCUGUAUAUGAUUCUUUCUUGUGUUUUUCUUUUAAGAGAGCAUUUGAUGUGAGUGAGUUGCUACUAUUUUGAACAUUCAUUAGUAACAUUUGAACUAAAAACUUCGAGAAUUUUCUCUAUGCGCCAGCGGAAGCCAAGGCGGCGCAUUAGAAAAUGGUGCGCAGCGGAAACGGAAGUGGAAAUAUUUUUAAUGAUUGGUAAAUUUUUUGACGGCUCCUCUCCAGCAGUCCCUCACUCCCGCUGUCACAAAACGCAUUGCCUUCGAUGCGAAGGAUUUUUGGGUGGAUGCUGGCCAGGAUCGUCGUCGUCUAAUAUUCCUUUGUGCGGCCGUUAUUAUUGAUGGAAAUGCAAAUUGGAUUUUCAAAUUUACUUCCCUGUUUGCUCUGCCAAUCGACACACAAAAGUGUCGGAAGAGGAAAAACGCAGGGUGCAAAAGAGCUAAAGAUUCGCUGGGGAUUUCUCACUUUUACCCGGGAUUUAUGGAAAAUUAUCAAGGACAGCCAAAAAGUAGCAUUUAUCAAUGAGCCAGAGCUUAUCCAGCGAGAGUUUUAUAUAUUCCGGGAAAGUUAUUUGCAACAGAUUCCCCCGAGCAAUAUAUCACUGAAUCAAUAGGGAUUAACUUUGAAUACUGAUUUCAGAAAUAACCAAUUAAUAAAAUAAGACCCCAUUCAACUCUUUUCCAGCCUGUCGCUUCUCGAUUCCACUUGCUAGUCGCUUGCAUUUUACUUCAAAGUAAUUAACGCCGCUCCAAAACAGACACCAAUUUGCAUAGUUGACCCCCGUUCGUAAGCCCCCCGAUAUCCGCCCACCACCCACAAGGCACCCGUUCGGAUUGGAGAACCUAUUACUCAAGACGUUCAAACACACACUGAUGGAAUGAAAUGGGGGGCGGGCUGUGGGGGAUAUUAAAAUAAAAACUUGCAGCCUCUGAAAACAAAA